rnacentral:lncRNA from 1 species
UCUCAGGCUGCUGUGCGGCUGGUUGCAGAGGGCCAUUCUAGAAGAGUGGUUCGCUAAUCCAGGAGCCAAAUGGGAAAGGUCUGAAAGGCAGGGCUCAGGGUGAUUCAUCCAUUCAUCCAUCCAUUCAUUCGCGCAUUAAAGAAAUAUAUAUAUCAUAUAUGCAUUGGGGGGGCUAUCUGUGUACCAGGCAGGGUGGUAGGCUCUAGAGAUACAAUCUUGAGUAAGAUAAACAUGGUUCCCACCCUCCUAGAGCUCACAGUUGAGUAGAAGAGGCAGAUAAGUAGAUGGGCAAUUACAAUACACUGGUGGAUGAUGAGCAGGAGCUGUGGAGUCAAGAGCAGGGAUGGAAAAGACAAUAGAGGGAGCAGUAGUUCAAAACCAGAAGCUGGUUCAAAGAUCUCUAGGAGUUGCUACAUGGGCAUGGGGCCAUGGUUUCCAGCCAGGGGCACUUUUGUCCUCCAGGGCACGUUUGGCAAUGUCUGGAGAUAUUUUUGACUUCACAACUAGUGGGGGCAGGGGGUGGUGGUUAUGAGAGGGACUGAGGCACCGUUAGAAAGGUUUUCUCCCCAGUAAAAAGGGGCACAAAAGGAGACACAUCCUCAUCUUCUGCCUCUUAAUAUUAUGGAACAAUGUAAUGACUGGGGCUGUGGCUGCCAUCUUGUGAUCCUGAGGCGAUCAGCCUGAGGAAGAAAGCCAGCACACAGAGGACGGCAGAGGAAGUGGGGAGGACCUGGUUCUUGGUGAAGCUAUUGAGGAAGAACCAACCCUGAAGUCACCCUACCACCAGAGGAGACAGCUUGUGACUCAGGGCCAUACAUUCCUUGUAGCGUAAGCCAUCUUUGGUUGGGUCCUGUGUUACCCACAGCUCCAAGCCUCCUUGCCGGCGAAUUUCAUUCUGCUCCUCUGAAACCGGUUUUCACUGCCAUCUGCAAUAACCACGGCUGCCGUGCACAGGCACCACAUCUAAGACAUCAUACGUUUAUUAUUUAUUAUAGCAAUUUUCCCACAGAUGGCAGUAAAGUGUUUUGUUCUAAUAAAAUCAGUGUGUUACAGUAGUUUUCUGAUAGAAGUAAAUUACCUUGAGGAAGGGGCACCUUUUUCUAAUUCACACAAGGGCACAAUCUAGCCUUGGUGGUUAAAUCUGUGGGCGCUCACCCUUCACGACUCAGCUGUGGCUGACAGCACGGACGUUCUCUGCUUCUUGAUCAACCUUCUGUCUGUACCCAGCUUCUGUGAUACCACAGUCGCCUGGUGGUCCUCCUCUCCCUGUGGCUUGGCGUCCCUCUCUGUUCGUCUGUGAUGUUCCCCAGGUCUCUUUCCCUGGCGCUGUUCUCGUAUUGUAUGGCUCCUAGGCACCCUCACCUGCCCCACUUUCUCUGCCUUCUACAGGUGAAUGAACCCGGAAUCCCUCACUGUAGCCCAGUUUCUCCCCUCCGCUGCAGGCGCCUUAGUGUACUGCUUACGCACUGGCACUAUGAACUCAAACCCUCCCACUCAAAGUCUCCAUCCUCCACCCCAUUAUAAAACUCCUGCUCUAUUUUUCCCUCCACCCAUCUAGUCCCUGGAGCUGCACUUGUGGGAGGCAUCCUUGAGGCCUAUCGCCUCUUACUCCUCAUAUCCAACACAUCACCAAAUCCCACAAAUUCUGCUUCUUGAAUCUGAGUCAAGCUACUUCUUUUCCCAUUACCACCAUCUCCACUUAUGAUCAGGCCCCUAGCAGGCCAACGUCAUUGAAACCCAAAUGCUACUGCCUUUGGCCAUUCCUCUCUCUCAGAUCUGCGCCUCCAGGGCUGAAAUCACAUCUCAAUUCUUAAUGAGAUGUCUGCUUCCUUCACUGAAGGGACUUUACUAAGUGUUUCAUUGCAAGUUUUCUUUAAAUAGCCAGGCUCUCAGAGCCAUUUCAAAUAGGGUUUUAUGUUCCUAAAUUCAGUUAGUUCUCAACAUUUGAGACCAAUUCUUGCAGCAAGGUGGAGAAUAACUCUCAUCUGUGAAAGAAAAGCGGUUCAAUAAAGCUUGAUAAGCCUUUUGUAUCCGG